CAAUCAUUGAUUUAAAAAGUUUCAAAAACAAAGGAAAAAAUUAUUUUUCGUGGACAUUUAUCGACUUUUCCGACAUUUUUUGACUUUUCCGAUUUGUGUUAUAGGAUUGUCAUACAAGUGUCGGACACCUUGACAGACCUAUUUCUAAGUGUAUGUUCUUCAUUGGUUUUCUUGGAGGCUUCUUCUUAAUAGGCUUCAAACAAGAGACCGAGUUCCGCAAAAUGGGGAGUUAUCUUAGGAGCACAUGGUCUCGUGUGUCCAGAAGAAAUUCAUAGACACACUUAUUGUUUUAGAAAAUGAAUUGUUUCUUACUGUGAAUAUGACAUUUAUCUGUUUGUUAUAAUUCCUAGCUGGGGCAUACAACUUUAGCACAUGCAGAAUAGUCUAAAGCUUGACUUGUAUAUGCAUUUUCUGAGUCUUCUUCUCAAUAGUCUAAAGCUUGACUUGGUGUGAAUGAGGACUUCCAGAGAAUAACUUCCGUACUAUUCCAAAAGACAUCUACGUUUGUAACAACCUUUUGUUUUUGACAGUUUGUUACAAACCUAAAAAAGGAAAAUGUGAAGAUACAGAGCUCACGAUGGAAGAAAAGCGCGCGCGAGAAGGAUACGGUGGUGAAUGGCACUGCUUGGUGGUGGUGGAGUGUUAGUCCGUGUAGGUUGCAGCGAAUAAUUUGCACAGUAAAAUAAACCAUGAUUACUUCUACGAUUACAGAUCCUGACAUUCUUGAAGUUGGAAACAGAGGUAUGACAACCGAAGAAUAUCGUGCCCAUUUCAGCAUAUGGGCAUUAGCUAAGGCUCUCCUUUAUUGAUUGGUUGUGACAUUCGAGCGCUAGAUGACACGACAAAGGAAUUGCUAAGCAACUCAGAAGUUACUGCCUAUAGUGCUGAGUUUUUUACUCUUUAGUUGAAUUUUGCAACAUUCAACACAAUCAUCAGUUUCGGGAAACAUAUCUGCAGAAUUAGAUUCACAUGCUUGUAAGAUGUAUAUCUUGACUCCCAACUAAGUUCUCGAUAUAUUGCCGACAGAAAAGGAGUUAAAUAACAGAAGUCAGUAAUAUCAGAAAUGCAUUGGCAAUCAUACUAGGUUCCACAGAACGAAGGAGAAUCAAUUAAAAAUUUAUUUGUUCAUAGAAAAUGCAGAAACAAAUUAAUAAAUUAUAUAUCGAAUAGGGUUU